ACAUUAUCAUCACCAAGCCAAACAGCUCCAGUCAUUUGAGUUUGUGGUUAAAGCGUUCCUCUUCCAAUCGUAUUACCAGCUCAAACCGAUGCAUGUACUUCACUAGUGCCAUGACCCGUAGUUGGACAAAGGUUUAGGGAAUGGCCACUAUGAGGUCAUCCAGAGGAUGAAGGAAACGAGCAGGAAGAUGACGCUGGUUAGCGACGCAGCGGAGCCCAGAUACAGCAUCGCCCCUACGCCAAGGAGAGCCGUGAGCAGGCUGUAGCUGAUGGAGCCCAGGAGCUCCUCCGCCCUGCGGGCCACCUCCUCAGCCUCCAGUGCCGGCUGGUUACACACGGCGUCCAUGUGGUUGACCAGGACCUCCGAGCCGUAGGCGAAGUCCGCCACGGAGUCCACCCUGACGCUGGCCGCCUUGGCCACGACCCCUAGGAUCAGCCGUAGGUUGGUCACCAUCUCGCUGAUGGCCGCUUUGUUCUGGGAAAACACAGGGAGGAUGUCCGGGAUGAGGUGGGCGACCCGGUUGUCCCCCAAGUAAAUCCCAAAGUGGGUGAAUAGCGUCCUGGGGACCUCGAGCAGGUCCCCCCGCGUGUACUGGGACAGGUCGUCCUUAGAGACACGUUCCUGGACUGUAGAAGCGGUGAAAAAGAUGUUGAACAGCUGCAAGGGGAACAUGGUGGUGGUGCUCUUGGUGCUCGUGGUGGUUCUGCUGCUGUUGGGUGACCACACCUGGACAAUAUAUUGAUGGGGUGAUUGGGAGGAGCUAGUGUGAUUCCAAGGAUUAGAUAUUGGUCAACCUUUUCAGUGUGAUUUUCUUUUUACAGAAAUAAAGGAGCUUUCUCCAAUCCUGAGGGUGUUUGUUCGAUGUCAAAACUCUGAGCCCUGUGUUGCCAGUGUAUUAGGGUCGCUGCAUGGUUCCAGUUUAGCAUUGGCAAUUUCAUCAUAUAAAUCCCUUGCUAAAAGUUAAUGUGGUUUUAUGUAUCCUAAAUGAAAAACAAUAGGCGCAAAGUACAACUGAACUACUUAAAUAUGUUUACAUUUUUCCUUAAACAUUUGUUCAAGGAGCAUAGUCUAACAAAUUAAAAAAUACCUACCCAUAUUGGGCGGAUUUUGACUGGCCACAUAUAAUAUAAUAGAAAUAUAUCAGUAUUUUAUAUUUAUUGUAUUGUUUUUUUUAUGGGUAGCCUAUGGAAAAAAAAACUGUGGUUGAAGCAGUGUUUGACACAAAGCACACAAAUAAAAAUAGAUGAUUUAUUAUUAACAACUGUACAGCACUGGCUUGUAGGCAAACAAUUAUCAUUUUCAAAUACCCAACAGUAUGUGUUUACUAUACAAUCAUUCAUCAAGGUCCAAUUUUCCCAGACUGCAGCAGAUAAUGGUAGGCCAAUAUAAUCAUUUCAAGCAUCUUACAAAAAUGGGG